UACAGAGGGUGCGAGCGUUGUCCGGAAUCACUGGGCGUAACGGGCGCGUAGGCGGCUUGAUAAGCGUGCGGUGAAAGCCCGGGGCUCAACCCCGGGUCGGCCGUGCGAACUGUCGAGCUGGAGCACUGUAGAGGCAGGUGGAAUUCCGGGUGUAGCGGUGGAAUGCGUAGAGAUCCGGAAGAACACCGGUGGCGAAGGCGGCCUGCUGGGCAGUGGCUGACGCUGAGGAGCGAAAGCGUGGGGAGCGAACAGG
rnacentral:rRNA from 1 species